rnacentral:RNase_P_RNA from 1 species
GAAGCGCGCCGGGCAGUCGCUUUUCGCAUUUUAUGCGAAAAGAGGAAAGUCCGAACACCGUAGGGCAGCGGGCCGGAUAACAUCCGGGCAUUUGCCUGUUUAGGCGGAUGACGACAAGUGCAACAGAGAACAGACCGGCCUCCGGAACACCGGAGGUAAAGGGUGAAACGGUGAGGUAAGAGCUCACCGGCGGGUGUGGUAACACGCCCGGCCAGGUAAACUCCCCGUGGUGCAAGACCAAAUAGGAAAACGCAAAUGGGUUGCCCGCCCGAUUUUUCUGUAAUUAAUUGUUGCAGAAGGCGUUUUCGGGUAGGUCGCUCGAGUUUUCGGGUAACCGAAAGCCUAGAUGAAUGAUUGCCACCCUUUCAAGGGGUACAAAAUUCGGCUUACAGGCGCGUUUCAUUU